GUGAGGAAUUUUGCGCAAUGGGCGAAAGCCUGACGCAGCAACGCCGCGUGGAUGAUGAAGGCCUUCGGGUCGUAAAAUCCUGUCAAGUGGGAAGAACUCCUCCUGGUGAAUAGCCGGGAGGAUUGACUGUACCACUGGAGGAAGCCCCGGCUAACUCCGUGCCAGCAGCCGCGGUAAUACGGAGGGGGCAAGCGUUGUUCGGAAUUAUUGGGCGUAAAGGGCGCGUAGGCGGCCAUGCAAGUCGGUUGUGAAAUCCCUUGGCUCAACCAAGGAACUGCGUCCGAAACUGCAUGGCUCGAGUCCGGGAGAGGGUAGUGGAAUUCCCAGUGUAGCGGUGAAAUGCGUAGAUAUUGGGAGGAACACCGGUGGCGAAGGCGGCUACCUGGACCGGUACUGACGCUGAGGCGCGAAAGCUAGGGGAGCAAACAGGAUUAGAUACCCUAGUAGUCC
rnacentral:rRNA from 1 species